GACGCUCCUCCCGGAGAGUAGUGAGACCCCUGGUGCGGCCCGAUUGGUCGCAGGGAUCCUGACUGACAGACACGCUACCCAGUGGGCGCUGUGCGUGGGCCGCGGGGCGGGGCCAGGGCGGGUGCGCGGCGGCGGCGGGGUGGCUGGGCCGGCGGCGGCGGCGGUACGAGGCGCGCGCUCGGGGUCCCGGUCGCGAGGAGGAGGAGGAUGUGGCGCGCGGAGGGGAAAUGGCUGCCGAAAACAAGCCGGAAGAGCGUUUCCCAAAGUGUAUUCUGCGGAACUAGCACCUACUGUGUUCUCAACACCGUGCCACCUAUAGAAGAUGAUCAUGGGAACAGCAAUAGUAGUCAUGUAAAAAUCUUUUUACCGAAAAAGCUGCUUGAAUGUCUGCCGAAAUGUUCAAGUUUACCCAAAGAGAGGCACCGCUGGAACACUAAUGAGAGAUCAUGAUGCAGCCGCCCUUUUGGAUUUCUUUUUAAUAAUGUGUGACCCUUCACCUUUGAUCCCCUGACCUGCAUUACCUUGGGUUGUUGGGAGGAUAAAUGAAACACACUGAGAACUCAGAAGAAAGGUGCUUUUGAAACUGAACCUCACCCUAUGGCUGUGCCGAGAGGCAGUGGUAGUGAACCCCGUGGUGAAGGGCCAGGACCGUGGCUGUGGAGCCAGGCUGCUGAGGUUCCAUCCCCACCUUGGCCUCCUGCAAGUGUUCUGACUGCAGCACAUUACGUAGCCGCCCUAUUCCUGAGUUUACUGCCUCUUUAAUGGGGUGACAGUGAUAGCACCCACUCACAGGAUCAUGGUCUUAAGAUUUUGGUAGCAGAAAGCAAAUGUGCAGAGAGCAAUGGAAACAAGUCAGAAGCUGCUGUCUGAUCCCAGAGAUGUCACAGUGUAUGCACAUGUGAUUUAUGUUGAACACUUUACCCCGAUAGCUCAAGUUGUUCAUUUAGUUGACUAACACCUGGGGGAGCAGGUCAUGAGGACUUUGACCUGCAAAAGGCCCGUGGUGCACUGAGCAUAAUCUGGUGCUGUGGGCCUCGGACUCCACUCAAGCCCUGGACAACACAGUCCUGCGUCCAGUGUGCUGAUGUGAGGGCUGAGAGGCCAAGUGCCCUUCACUCAUGUCUCAGGAGCCUAGUGCUCCUCCCUGCCUGCCUCUCAGUGCUGCCUGCCCUAGCUCCUGAGCCAGGGAGGCUGAGGUCUCUGAGGCUUCCUUUUGUGCUUUGGGGUGGAUUCAGGGUCACAGUGAAAGUCACUGGAAGCUUGUUAAGACCUUACAUUGAUUAGGAAGUGUCCUUGACUUAAGCUGUCAGCAUCUCUUUGAAAUACUGUAUUUUUCUAACCUGGGGAACUGUCCUGUGGUGAGAGUCAGAGGUGCUGGGAGUUAAGUCUUCCUUCUCAGUGCUAUGUGUCACAGACACUCUAGCCAGGUAGCCUCGCAAAGCACUGUCUGCUCUGUCAGUAUGUACUUAGACUCGUUAGUCUGAAUCAGAGAGCUGAUUGUACCCACUGGCUCCCGUGGGACGCCGUGUCAGAACAAACAGAGUGUAGGAGUGUGCUGAACAUGCAGAGUAAGGAUACAAUUCUGUAAAACUAGUUCACUGAGCUUGGACCAUGAUAUCUUUGAACUUUUCAUUUUUAAUUUGAUUCUUUUGUGGUCUCUCAGAGAUAUAGUUUAAUAAAAGUUACACUGUAACAUUGUCAAAAGACAUUUAUAUAAGGCCCAAUUUUGAAUUAUCUUAGGGAAAUAGGUCAUGUGUGUAGAGACACAUGUACAUAUACACACAUGUGUUUAAAAUAUACUUUAGUUGGCCUUUAUUCCUAUGUCCUCUUCUUUCUCUGCCUCUGGAAGUGGGGCACGUUUUCUUCAGUUAAACACAGAAAUAGAAGCGCGUUCUUGACCCAUUUCACACCUGUUCAUUUCAGGCUCUCACCACACACUUGUUCAUGGGCGCAGCAUGAAGAGGGUCCCACAGAGCUGGAGCCAUGAGGGCUGCCACAUGGGAGCAAGCUGUCAGAGCAUAGGGAGAGCUUGCCAUCCUGCCAGCUCUAUAGCUGCUUCAGGGCAGUUCUGUUAGUGAAUUAAUUGUACAUCAAACCCUGGGUUUAUAUGAUCUGAAUGUUACUAACAAUGAACUAGAUUCAAGUGACCUGUUCUUACUUCAUCCAGAGUGACUGUGAAAGUACAGCAGCUGCUUCUCUUGGGGAGCAGCCUGCACCACGGAUGCCCUGUGUCCCUGUUGCCCCCAGCAAACUUUCCUUUCCUUAUUAACACAGCAGUGGCCUGUUUAUGUGCUGAUUAUUGCCUCCCAGAAGAAUGGAAGCUCCUUGAGAGCAGGGCCUGUUGCUGUCUCUGUUUCCAGCACACAGGACAGCUCCUGUUACAUCAAUAAAUGCUGUUCAGUG